rnacentral:tRNA from 1 species
GGCGAGGUGGCCGAGUGGUUAUGGCGUAAGUUCCCCAUACUAGUGGAGCAAUCCUCGUGGGUUCGAGUCCCACCCUCGUCA